rnacentral:rRNA from 1 species
GACGAACGCUGGCGGCGUGCUUAACACAUGCAAGUCGAACGGAAAGGCCCUGCUUUUGUGGGGUGCUCGAGUGGCGAACGGGUGAGUAACACGUGAGUAACCUGCCCUUGACUUUGGGAUAACUUCAGGAAACUGGGGCUAAUACCGGAUAGGAGCUCCUGCUGCAUGGUGGGGGUUGGAAAGUUUCGGCGGUUGGGGAUGGACUCGCGGCUUAUCAGCUUGUUGGUGGGGUAGUGUCUUACCAAGGCUUUGACGUGUAGCCGGCCUGAGAGGGUGACCGGCCACAUUGGGCCUGAGAAACGGCCCAGACUCCUACGGGAGGCAGCAGUGGGGAAUAUUGCACAAUGGUCGGAAGCCUGAUGCAGCCACGCCGCGUGCGGGAUGACGGCCUUCGGGUUGUAAACCGCUUUCGCCUGUGACGAAGAGUGAGUGACGGUAAUGGGUAAAGAAGCACCGGCUAACUACGUG